rnacentral:rRNA from 1 species
CUGGGAAACUUGAGUGCAGAAGAGGAGAGUGGAAUUCCACGUGUAGCGGUGAAAUGCGAAGAGAUGUGGAGGAACACCAGUGGCGAAGGCGACUCUCUGGUCUGUAACUGACGCUGAGGAGCGAAAGCGUGGGGAGCGAACAGGAUUAGAUACCCUGGUAGUCCACGCCGUAAACGAUGAGUGCUAAGUGUUAGGGGGUUUCCGCCCCUUAGUGCUGCAGCUAACGCAUUAAGCACUCCGCCUGGGGAGUACGGUCGCAAGACUGAAACUCAAAGGAAUUGACGGGGGCCCGCACAAGCGGUGGAGCAUGUGGUUUAAUUCGAAGCAACGCGAAGAACCUUACCAGGUCUUGACAUCCUCUGACAACCCUAGAGAUAGGGCUUUCCCUUCGGGGACAGAGUGACAGGUGGUGCAUGGUUGUCGUCAGCUCGUGUCGUGAGAUGUUGGGUUAAGUCCCGCAACGAGCGCAACCCUUGAUCUUAGUUGCCAGCAUUCAGUUGGGCACUCUAAGGUGACUGCCGGUGACAAACCGGAGGAAGGUGGGGAUGACGUCAAAUCAUCAUGCCCCUUAUGACCUGGGCUACACACGUGCUACAAUGGACAGAACAAAGGGCUGCAAGACCGCAAGGUUUAGCCAAUCCCAUAAAUCUGUUCUCAGUUCGGAUCGCAGUCUGCAACUCGACUGCGUGAAGCUGGAAUCGCUAGUAAUCGCGGAUCAGCAUGCCGCGG